rnacentral:lncRNA from 1 species
UUUAAGUCUGCAGACGUUACUGCUGUCGUUUUGUUUGUCUGUGCCCUUCCCACAGAGGUGGAGCCUACAGAGGCAGGCAGGCGUCCUUGAGCUGUGGUGGGCUCCACCCAGUUUGAGCUUCAUUUCAAUGCCAUCCCCAUCAAGCUACCAAUGACUUUCUUCACAGAAUUGGAAAAAACUACUUUAAAGUUCAUAUGGAACAAAAAAGAGCCCACAACGCCUAGUCAAUCCUAAGCCAAAAGAGCAAAACUGGAGGCAUCAUGCUACCUGACUUCAAACUAUACUACAAGGCUACGGUAACCCAAACAGCAUGGUACUGGUACCAAAACAGAGAUAGAGAUCAAUGGAACAGAACAGAGACCUCAGAAAUAACACCACAUAUCUACAACUAUUGGAUCUUUGACAAACCUGAGAAAAACAAGCAAUGGGGAAAAGAUUCCCUAUUUAAUAAAUGGUGCUGGGAAUACUGGCUAGCCAUAUGUAGAAAGCUGAAACUGGAUCCCUUCCUUACACCUUAUACAAAAAUUAAUUCAAGAUGGAUUAAAGACUAACACGUUAGACCUAAAACCAUAAAAUCCCUAGAAGAAAACCUAGGCAUUACCAUUCAGGACAUAGGCGUGGGCAAGGACUUCAUGUCUAAAACACCAAAAGCAAUGGCAACAAAAGCCAAAAUUGACAAAUGGGAUCUAAUUAAACUAAAGAGCUUCUGCACA